UGCAGAGUGGGCAUGCCGCAUCACAAGGGCCACUCAGAACUGGCUCAACUCCCAUCAAGCCACGUUCCUGGAGAACACCCAGCUCAUCAUGCUAGACGACACAUUCGUAUGUCAUCCAUAUCAACUUUGGAUGCCAUUUACUGCGUCCACCAUGGUGACCACGGGUAACGUGGAAUUAGGGUUCGAUUCCGGAGAGGGAGCCUGAGAAACGGCUACCACAUGCAAGGAAGGCAGCAGGCGCGCAAAUGAUCCACUCCCGACACGGGAAGGUAGUGACG
rnacentral:rRNA from 1 species